GAAAUUUCAAUAAGUCGAUUAAAUCUCAGCCUUAAAUUCACUGUUUUUAAUUUAUGUUAAAUUUAAUGAGAAUUUCUGUUACAGAAUUCUGAAUUAUGCAAAUUUUUUUUUUUUCCCCAUGUAAGGGUACUAGGAUGCUUGAGAGUUCUUUUUAUUCUCUUCUCCACUGCAUAUUAUAACUUAGAUGGGUCUGCUUUAAGAAGGUUGGUUUUAUUCUUGAAUUAUACCCAUUUGGUUUUAGACGUAGUUUAUUUAGUUAAAUAUAUGACUACUGGUGAAAUGGAUUAGCCAAAUAUUGCAUAUGUAAUCUGCAUACAAAUUCCUAGCAUUGUUGUAAACAGUCAGUCUAAGUGGAGGAUUCUUGUAUGAAAUUUGGUAAACAAAUAUCUAGAAAUUAGCUUCACAGUUUCUUAGGUUUCAUUUAAUUUGGUACUUGUUUUUGUUUGAUCUAUUUCUCUUAGGGCGUGUCAAAUGGUAAAGCUGCAAGUAAACCAUCCAUUACAUGACAUAAUGCAAUAGACUUAUUCCAAAACAUAACUCUAUUGUUUUGAUUGAGUGUUUUAGUGCUCAUAUUCAAGUCAUUUUUAAACUCUAAAUCCCUAACUGAUGAUAAUGCCUAAUAUUUUUAAUUAGUUCAAAUUUUUAUAAUGAGUUAUUGGAUGAAUGUUGAUGAUUUUGUUUGUGGAUAAUGAUUUAUUGGAUUGGAUUAAUAUUAAUGAUUUUGUGUGUGCAUAAUGAUUUGUUGCAUUAGGUGACUAUAUAUGAUUAUUUGAUUUGUUGGAAUUUAGGGUUUAUGAUUUGUUGAAUAAAUUUUGUGAUGGACUUCUUUUCCUCUCUCUAUUUGUUCAUUUGUCUUAAUUAAAUUAUGCAUUAUGUAGCCUUUUUCAUGAAAUUCUGUAUGUUUUCUGCUUUGUGUUAGUUUCACAUUAUUGUAUUUCAAUUUAUGUUUAUUAGAUGGGAUGAUCGGUUUGUAUAUGGUUUUAAAAUUCUCAACUGGAUCACUGAAACUCGCACUAAAAUUAGCAUAUUCUCAGUUUAGGUCACUGUUUUUUUUUUCCUAACUUUUCUGCCAUGUCUUCUUGGAAUGUAAAUUCAUACAAUUGGUUUAAAGAAAAAAAAACUUAAAAAUCUUAUGAAUUGUUAUUUGAUGUAGAUUGACUAUUUGGUAGAAACAAAGAAACAAACUUAGACAGAUGGAGGCCUCCUUGCACUAAACAACUUCUGUUAUCUAAGGAAUCUUAUGAAUUGUUACUUUCUAGGAGAAUGUAUCAGAUUCUGAUGAGAUCCAACUCAUCUCUUUGAAAAGGAAGACAACCCCAAGCAAUAUUGGAAUCACUCUUUCUGCCCCAAAAUAGAAGUUAAAACCCAUGCAGAGGACGAGAAAGAACAUAAGCCACCUCUACAGCAUAGCUAACAAGAGAAAUCUAACAGACAUCAAGGCAGAAAAAUCCUCUUUCACCACCCAAUAACAUAUAUAUAAAGACAUGUUCAAACUCUUUUGAACAAUGAAUAGCUCAAAAUUAUUGAUAUUUUAAUGUUUUGAUUGCUGCUUGAUAUAUUAAAAUAUGGUCAGUAUUUUUAUAUGACAAA